CCUGUUUGGACCAAUUUAGGAUCUCAAGCCAAGAGGAUGAAACGUUCAACAGCCGACUAGAUGGAAUGAAGCAAACGUUAGUGAUGAUGAUCAUGCACUUGCUGAGGACGUUUUGUUCAGAUUCCUCAAAGGCCUUCCAGGCCCGUUUUUGUGUUGACUGAAGUACUGGAUGUCUACGUUGACGACGAAUUCACCAGUGUGGCAUCUCGAAGCUGGAAUCGCAGAAUAUCUACUGCCGCUCUGAAAGUUUGGCUCUCCCAAGGUCAAGACAUCAAAAUUGACACUGAAGCAAGCUCUGCAAAACUAUCAAGACAUUCAAGAG